UAUAUAAUAUACAUUUGACAAAAAACAAGGAAACUAAGAAUGACUCAAAAUGAAAAUUUUUUAAAGAUUUAUUUUUCAAAUAAACCAUCUGUUUUAUUUAUCUGCAGAUAAACCAUCAUUUUUAAAGAGCAAGUCACAUCAAAAUCAACCUUUUUUUUAGCUAAUAACAAGUAUAAAUGAGUGUCUACAGGGUUUAUCCUGGCUCAAAUUGAGGCAGAGGUGGUACCAUCCAGACCAUGCGCCAGCACAAGCAUUCUCUGUGCAUUCAACUGCCUCACUUUUUUAAAGGCAAAAUAUUUUUUCGUUACGUGUUCUAAUCUAAGCUUCUGUUGAUUAAUUGAUUAUUCCAUUUGACAAUGUUUCAAGUGAAACAAAACUAGUUUGCUGCUAAAGAAUAUGAAAUAAAACAACAAAAUUAUCAGGCUUAAAUAACAGACUCUUAUUAUAAAAGGCUCAAUGAUAUGCAUUAGAUUGGUGUUGAGUUCCCUCUUUCCCAUCUGAUAUUUAUAGUUAAAUUAUUUUUUAAUAUUUGACCUACAUUUCUGUAACAUUUUAGGUUUGUAUUAAGAACACUCAUCUUAGUCAAAAUAACACAAAUAUAUCCAGUAAAAUAUAAUGCAUUUCAUUAACAUGCAUUUGUAUUGGAAAUGGUAAUAACAUUUAAUUUCUGCUGCUAACCAUGUAACGGUGACAUGUCUAUUAUGUACGGGCUGGCAAUAAUCCAGUUUAAAUUAUGUUCAAAGACAGAAGCGUUUUUGAAUUAUAUACUACAAUGGCUUGUCGUACGUCAUGCGAAUGUGACUCGUAUCUGCAGCGGUUCUGAUCCAUGGCACUGCAGCAUGCAGAAUAAACAGGAUGGUGGGGAUUUUUCAUCUGCUUGCAGAGUUUAGUCUUUCUUAGUUUUACCAUCAUCAUAUAUUUUUCGGUGCGCCACUUGAUUGACUGCUACCCAUUAGCUUUAGCAUUAGCCAGUCUGCGUGUAGCUGCACUUUUGAUCCCAAACUGUGGGCCGGUUCUGCCUUUAUGCCUUUGCUGGUUCCUUUAUUUUCCUCCACUGCAUCCAGAUGACCACACCGUGCGCCAGUAAAAAGCAUUUUUUCUUAUACGUAACUUACUUUUGUUCAAUAAAGUUCUGGGGAAAAUAGUAAUUCAAAGAUGUUGCACCAGUGCUACGUUUAAAAAUUGACAGACAAGCACGGACAGUUUUUUUCGUCGCACUGUACAACCCUGCUCUGAUAUGGAAGAGCCUGGGGGGAAAUCAGGACGUCAAUAGCACCAACCAUAGAUUAGUACCAACUAGCGAGAAAAUACAUUUUUGAUCAUUUUCUGCAGCGGUUUUAGAGCUUUUUGGUGCACCGCUGCUGAUGCAGCGCCCCUGUAGUGGCGCAACGCUGAAACUGCAGUUAAAAUAACAUCCAUUUAGCUGGGGGCAGAGUGAAAUCAGACUGGGGCGGCACAAAAUUAGCUGGAGGCGGCCGCCACGCAAAUUUGAACGCAGGAAAAACCCUGGUCUAAUAGUGUUGUAGACAUGUGUAGUUUUUUUUUUUUUUCAUUUUGACGCAUUUUCUUUGAAAACUCUUCAUUUCUGUCCAAAAACGUCAGUCUAGCGCUAUCUUCAGCUCAUAAGUAUAGAACAAGUUUAUUCUAAGUCUGUUUUAGCCAAUGGCUAACGAGAACGAUGCUACGUAUCCAAGAACAGUACUACGUAGCAGCUCUGUGGCUGUAGGUUAUAAAAUCACCGCGGUCUCAACCAGUCUUGUAGCAGUCGAGGUUUGAAUUAGCCGCAAGUGAGUUGUGCUGUAGUUAGCAUUAGCAUUGAGCCAGAGUCCCAGCUAAACUUCUAGUAUUAUAGUUAUUUAGUUCUAGUAGCUUGGCUGUUAAUAUUGUAGUUAAGUGUAUUUUACAUGUUAUUCUUUCACCAAUUUGAUGGAGUUUGAACUGGGUUAUGCUGGUUUGAAGAGCAUUUCACAAAUCAGUCCAAACCGUUCCAGUAAUUAGCCGGAUCCCGCCGACUGCUGCUUCCUCAAAACGGAGAUUUUGGGCCCAAUUUGAGGUGAGUAAGCUAAAUAAUUACUUUUAACAGCUUCUAAAGAUCGUUCCUUACCUGUAAUUUUGCAGCUAUAUUUGCUAUAUUUAUAAAUGCAAAGUAGGAGAGGCGUGGACGUGGUUCACGUAAUUUAGACAAUCAAUCCACACUGCCGCAGGCUCGAAGCGAGUGUUGUGUGUGUGUGUGUGUUAUAAUGUCACAGACUGGUUCAGGUUAAGUUUUUGUGCCAGUUAAUAAUAUCAGCGCUGAUGCAGAGCAGGAGGGACACUGACGAGCAGCUCCUCUCUCUGCUAAAAAGCUGACCUGGUUCUGGACUGGUGCUGAGUCCGGUUCUCAUUAGAACAUGUCUGAUUCUGGACACUGAGUUAGCUCUGAGUGCAGUCAGAUCACUCACCAGCCAUGUUAUAAAGCACAUACAGUAUCUUAGACAGGUUGUUUUGUACACGAUCUAAGUUAAUAAACUCCCACAACAACGUGAUGUUAUUAUAUUUUUCAAGCUAAAUCUGCCCAAGAUGGAUGUAGUCCUCCAAGCCUGCGCUGGUCCAUACUAGAAGCCUUGCAGCCUCCCAGCAGCUGUGUGUCUGACACUGGGACCAUGAUGGGAAUUCCACCCAGAGCAGCUUCUCCACUCCUGAGCAGACCCAGGUGUGGUGGAGAGCUUCUGAGCAGCUUCCAUCUGAAUGACAGGACAAGCUCUAUGAACUGAUCCAGGUGAAAACAUUCUAAAUAGUAAUAUUGUACUCUGUUUCCUGGCUUUUUCCUUACAUCUCAGCCUGGCUGGUCACCACUGGAGAGGAGUAGCUUCCCAGACUCACACUAGCAUCCCAUUUUACCUCAGGGCCUCCUGAUCUUCUAACAGAAAAACCUGUAGCUCCAUCCUCACUCCACUCUCCACAUGUUUCUCAUCAUCUCUGGAAACUACCUCCCACAACACUUUGAUGUUGUACAUAAUUUUUUUCUUUCAGGCUAAAUGAACCCAAGAACUCUGCUGUCAGACUGACUGUUGUAGCUACAAAUGGUCCAGACUAACAUGAAGCCUUGCAGGUGUAGUAAAGCUUAUUGCUACACGUGUGUUGCUGCUGUGAGCUUGGAGCUAGAUUACAUCAUGACAUCAUGAAGGAGACUACUGAUUCUGGUCCUGUGACACUUGGUGACGUGUGAGCUGAUUUGCCUGGUUUACAACUUUUACAUUAAAUAUUUUGGAUUUUUUUUUUCUAUCAAAAGUAAAUUAACUAAUAACCUGCAUUAUUGUAGGACACUCAGCAAAAUAUGGACUCUACACCAUGAGGCAUGCACACGUUAAUACUCUAGAAGAGCACAUAAGGUGAGCAACACCACAUAUUAUUAUUAUUGUUAUUAUUGUACACUGUCCUGGAUUUGCUUUCUUUCUGCAUCUCAUCAUUAGCCUGGCUGAUCACCUGAUAACCCCUGUCAUCUGGUCAUGACAGCAUGAGGAUGUCCUCACACACCUGUAACCUAUCAGCUCAUCUGGCAGAAUAGAGAGAGACAACACCACAUCUCCUGUUCCUGGAAAGCCUUCAGCCAUCCUUCGAUGACUGAGAACCUCCAUCCAGCUCUGUCUCCUGUCUGCCAGCAGUUAUUAUAAUAAAUAUUGUGUUUGACAAGUUC